AGAGUUUGAUCCUGGCUCAGGAUGAACGCUGGCGGCGUGCCUAACACAUGCAAGUCGAACGUGAUUUCUAUACUUGUAUAGAAUGAAAGUGGCGAACGGGUGAGUAACACGUAGGUGACCUGCCCCAAGAUGGGGGAUAACUCCUUGAAAGAGGAGCUAACACCCCAGAUGUCUAAGUUGUUGGAGACCUUAGACUAAAACUCUGGUGUCUUGGGAGGGGCCUGCGGGCUAUCAGCUAGUUGGUGGGGUAAGAGCCUACCAAGGCGAAGACGGCUAGGGGGCGUGAGAGCGCGAUCCCCCACAAGGGAACUGAGAAACGGUCCCUACUCCUACGGGAGGCAGCAGUGAGGAAUAUUGAGCAAUGGGCGCAAGCCUGACUCAGCAACGCCGCGUGGAUGAAGAAGGCCUUCGGGUUGUAAAAUCCUUUUCUGCGGGACGAUAAUGACGGUACCGCAAGAAUAAGUUCCGGCUAACUACGUGCCAGCAGCCGCGGUAAAACGUAGGGGACAAGCGUUAUCCGGAUUUACUGGGCGUAAAGCGCCCGUAGGCGGCCUGCCAAGUUGGCUGUGAAAGCUCCCGGCUUAACUGGGAGAGGUCAGUCAAAACUGACAGGCUAGAGGCUGGAAGAGGCGAGCGGAAUUCCCGGUGUAGUGGUGGAAUGCGUAGAGAUCGGGAGGAACACCAGUGGCGAAAGCGGCUCGCUGGUUCAGCCCUGACGCUGAGGGGCGAAAGCGUGGGGAGCGAACGGGAUUAGAUACCCCAGUAGUCC
rnacentral:rRNA from 1 species